rnacentral:tRNA from 1 species
GCCCUCGUAGCUCAGAGGAUAGAGCAGAUACCCGCUAAGUAUCCGGUCGCGGGUGCAAGUCCCGCCGGGGGCACCA